CAUCCCGCACAUGUAAGGUUGGAUCUUCUAUCUAGAUCUUGAAUGCCGACCUUUCGUACUUAGAAGGUGAAUACAACAGGCUGUUAGAAAGUAGUGCAUACUUCCUACACCUGUAUGUCAUGGAUGGGUUGAGCAAUGGGCAAAAAUUGGCAAAGAAAAAACCUGCUGCAAGAAAGGUAAAGCUGGAGAAACUGCUGAAAAGCAAAACAAUGAAUUGACAGACAGCUCAAGUAAUACGCUUAUCACUGAAAUGAGUUCCCUCGGAUAUGUAUGUGAUGGGUUGCCAAUCCAGAGAAGCUUUGAAGGAGUUGUUCUGACAAAAUGCAUAGUCAUUGUAAGAUGUUGGAUUUAAAUUUAAUUUCUAACUUAAAAAUGUACUGGUGGAAUGAAAAUAAAUUGAGUUGCAAAAUUAUUUGUUUAGUGGGUAGAUGACAUGGCAGAUGCUGGUACUUAUCAAUACACUCUUAAUUUUUAGAAGCAACAGUUACAAAAAAAGAUGAUAAACUAAAUGUGUAUGUGGUUUUUUCUGUGUGAUAAAAACAAGUCAUUUAACAAUUAUUUGUCAAGAGAAAAGUGAAUGUCUUGUGGGAUAAUGUCUUCCAGUGUAGACCCUAGCUAGGGUUCAGAGGUUAACUUACUGUCAUUCAAGUGAUGACUUUGCAGCACUAAUGGAACUGCUGGUGUCAUGGUAUAUCUUGCAGACCUCAGGGUCAGACAGGGUGGUGAAUAAGAUUGACUUUACAUCCUGUGAACUGGAAUAUGUUCUUGAUGUUAGUGCCCUCAGAUCCACAUACAAUUUCUGUUUCACAGUGUUUCCAACUUUACUCACAAGUGAAACAACAGUUCUUAGCUGUUUAGGCUCCUCUUCUGUAUCUAUAAGUUUCUGAUCUUUAGAAUCUCAUUUUCAUUCAAAAAAGUUCAUCCUAUUAGCAUAAGGCUUAUGUUAGUUUUGCUUCAGGAUAAUUUUUCAUUUUAAAUUAUUUCUAAAGUAGAAUGUGGACCAUUAAGGAUUGUAUUAUCUGUCAUCUUUUCAUUAAAAAUAAGUUGUAGU